AUCCGGGUCUGGGACCGUGCAUGGUAGGCAGUUUGACUGGGGCGGUCUCCUCCUAAAGUGUAACGGAGGAGUACGAAGGUACGCUAGGUACGGUCGGACAUCGUGCUAAUAGUGCAAUGGCAAAAGCGUGCUUGACUGCGAGACCCACACGUCGAGCAGGUACGAAAGUAGGUCAUAGUGAUCCGGUGGUUCUGUAUGGAAGGGCCAUCGCUCAACGGAUAAAAGGUACUCUGGAUAACAGGCUAAUACCGCCCAAGAGUUCAUAUCGACGGCGGUGUUUGGCACCUCGAUGUCGGCUCAUCACAUCCUGGGGCUGUAGUCGGUCCCAAGGGUAUGGCUGUUCGCCAUUUAAAGUGGUACGUGAGCUGGGUUUAAAACGUCGUGAGACAGUUUGGUCCCUAUCUGCCGU
rnacentral:rRNA from 1 species